rnacentral:rRNA from 1 species
AACGAACGCUGGCGGCAGGCUUAACACAUGCAAGUCGAACGGGUGCAGCAAUGCAUCAGUGGCAGACGGGUGAGUAACACGUGGGAACCUUCCUAGGGGUACGGAACAACUCAGGGAAACUUGAGCUAAUACCGUAUACGUCCGUGAGGAGAAAGAUUUAUCGCCCUUAGACGGGCCCGCGUCGGAUUAGCUAGUUGGUGGGGUAACGGCCUACCAAGGCGACGAUCCGUAGCUGAUCUUAGAGGAUGAUCAGCCACACUGGGACUGAGACACGGCCCAGACGCCUACGGGAGGCAGCAGUGGGGAAUCUUGGACAAUGGGCGCAAGCUUGAUCCAGCCAUGCCGCGUGAGUGAAGAAGGUCUUCGGAUUGUAAAGCUCUUUUGCCAGGGACGAUAAUGACGGUACCUGGAGAAUAAGCCCCGGCAAACUUCGUGCCAGCCGCCGCAGUAA